rnacentral:lncRNA from 1 species
UGUUUAGCACUUGGUCAGAUAUAUUUUAAAUUCAGUUUCAGAACUUUCUGAGUAAUAUUUUUAAAGCCUAUACUAAAAUGUUGUAAUUAACAACAUUGGAAACAGUUAAUAUCAAACCAUUUGUGUAACAUUGAUUUUGAAUUUCAACAUGUACAAGAUUAGUAAGUUUUUUUGUUGAUGUAUAAGUACUGUUUCAUUUUAACAUUAACAUGAAGCUUCUUGGCUGCCAUUUCAACCAGUUCAGAAGGUGAACUCUCUUCCUUAUCUGAUUUUGUUGAUCUUUAUAACAAAUUUAAAAAAUCAAUAGUAUAGCUAUACAAUAAAAAAAACAUUGCAUAAAGCAUGUAUCUGGUGUAUAAAAUUAAUCAUUUUAGACACCCAUAGGUGAUGCUUAAUUUUGUAAAAUGGGACAAGUUGUUCCUAGCUACAGGUUUCACUGUUUAUAAAUGAUAUGUACCAGCUAGCAUAUUUCUGGUUAUUUGCCAUACAUAUUGAGAUAAUAAGCCUUCAAAUUAUGCAUAUGACAUUUUUAACCAUAUUUGUUUGAAAAAAAUACAGACAUGUAUUUUCUGUUUUUAAUAUGCUCAACCUAAUUAAUAGGGGGCUUUAAUGUUUUCCUGUCUGUGCAUCCUUCUGUCCGUCCAUUUGUCUAUCCCAUUUCAGGUUUUAAAUUUUUGGUUCAGGUAGUUGAACAUUAAGUUGUGCUCACUUUAUCUGGAAACUUAAGUGCAUGUUCUGGGUAAUACAUGUAUGUUCAUUGUCAUGUGAAUAUUUAAAAUGAUGUGUUGAUUUACACUUGACCCUAAUACAGGGUUGACUGAAAAUCAAAACUUUAAAAUGUGAGGGGAGCAUUUCCUAUAGACACGUAUUCUUGCUUUUUUUAUUGACUUGCAUCGUCUUUCUUGCAGAACAUUGUUAUAUACAAGCAAAUUAAAUUUAAAUAGAUUUUAUCCUGCAAUUGGCUGUCCUACUAUACAGAUACAGCCCUACAGAUAUCGCUAUGCUGUAUCUGUAUACUAUACAGAUAUCGCUUAAAGCUCCGCCCACUGCCGGACUGAGUAUUGUUUGAACCUGUGUGACCUCAGAAUGUGUAUUGAAUGUGUAUGAUUGUGUUACAAAAUCAACCAUGUCAAUUUCAGCAUGCAUGUUUAGGGAAUGUCAAAUCUGAAGCGUAGGACAACUCGUAGACUUCUGUUUCAAAUUUGACAAUGUUUUGUUAUUCGUUUUAACUGUUGAAAUUAGUUGUUAUGUUAAAAUAGAUAAUUAUUCACCUUGAGCGAUGUAUUAUUGUUGACCAUUCGAGAUUCUUUUUUGCGAACCCGUCUUCAGCGUAAUGUUUGAUUUUGAUAUUACUACGCGGGCCUCAAGGGAUUACAAAUCGAAAAUAAAUGCUAAAUAUGUUAGUUUUUGUGUCUUUCAAAACACAAACAAUAUACAGAAUUAAUUGCAGGAUAAAGACAAUAACUGUUUAGUGUCUUUAAAUAUCAGCUGUAUUUGUACUCGGCUCGAAACAGGUGUAGUAGCUCGCUAAAAGCUCGCAUACACCUUGUUUCCUAGCCUCGUACAAAUACAGCUGAUAUUUAAAGACACUAAACAGUUAUUGUCUAUAUAUUUUUAAAAUAAACUGUGAUAUAUUAAAUGUUUGUGAUUUUUUGACAAAAAAAAAUAGCUUUUUGAAAUAUAGUUUGCAGUAGAUGAAGUAAAAAGGUAUUUACAAAUGUUUCUUUUAUAUUUUAUGGUACUCCACUGAACUUGGGGGUAAAUCUUGUAAUAGUCCAGCAUGCUUAUAGUUUCAUGUGAACUGUGUUUAUUUUGUUAAUAAAUUUGUGUACUUGAUUUCAGUCUUAGAAUAGAGCAGAUUAAGGCAUAUACAUGUAAUUAUAAACCUAAAUAUCAACAGUGAAUUGAAAAGAUUUUUUUUGUUCAAGUUUCCACCUCAGUACAGGAAAGCUAUAUCAUGGCAACUCUCAGAAAAUAUGAAAAAAAAAUGUUUUAGUAUCUUUGAUUGGAGAGAUUUCUUGGAUGCCAACAAAUAUUCAAUAGCUAGUUGUUUUUCAUAAAACUUUUUGGGAAAUAAUUUUUUAAAUACAAUCCAUUCUAUAAGUCAACUUAAUCCUGAUUCCCUUUCAGUUGUGAAUAAGUCAGUUGGUAGUUAUUUGAUAAAGGAUUUGCUUUAGGGAUUUACAUCUUAUAUAUACCAGUCCAAGGUGCUUGGGGCACAGAGGACUACCUUGCAUCAUUAACAGUUUACAUUUAGUAAGAUAUUUUCAAUGAAAUAUUUUUAGCUGAAUUUCCUAUAUCUUUUUAUUGUUAUUACUUGCACAAUCUUACUUUGUUAUUAGUUUAAAUGUGGUGUCCCCUUACUCUAUACUGUAAAAUUAAAGUAGAUGGGUAGCACAUAUAAACUUCUUUCAUAUAAGAUUGUGUUAGUAAACGUAAGAACACAUUUAGUUAUGUAUUAAUGAUUUGUACUUCAUGUAGAAAUAACUACAGGUAUGUUCCUAAUAUAGGUCAAUAUUUUUAGGUCUGUUAUAGUACCAGUAAGUACCAUUACAUUCCAAAUAUAUUGUAAAGCUCAACUAGAAUAAUUGUGUUAUUAUAACCUUUCAUUGUAUGCAUUGUAGACUCUUGUAACCAUGUCAUAGAGUUUUAUUUUUUCUGGAGUAAUGUAGACUUAGAUAAAUUACAAAAAUACAAUGUAUAUCUUUUUUUUCCAAUGAAGGAAUCAAAUGGCAAAAUCAUAUUUGUGUGUUAAGUUCCAUUCUUGUGUGAGGUUUAAGUUAUUCAUAUACCAUUAAAGUUGGGG